rnacentral:rRNA from 1 species
AACUUUUGGCAAUGGAUCUCUUGGUUCUCCCAUCGAUGAAGAACGCAGCGAAUCGCGAAAGUUAGUGUGAAUUGCAGAACCGUGAAUCAUCGAGUCUUUGAACGCAUCUUGCGCCCGGGGGUAUUCCCCCGAGCAUGCCUGUUUGAGUGUUGUGA